UACUCUCACACUCUUUCACUUUUUCACGGAGUUGAAAGAGAGGUGGAACUGGACGCCUGCUGCCUAAUCCGCGGCUCGUCUGAAAUCCGUUAGUGCACCUUCGGGUUGGACAUAGUACGGCGUGAUAAGUAUCUUCGCUGGCUCCUCGCAAGAGGGUGUUCAAUCCGUGAGCUCUGUGCUUCCAACAGUCCUUCCUUUAGAGGGGACAAACCUUUUUUUGACAAC
rnacentral:misc_RNA from 1 species